GUUUUCCUGUUGCAAACCAUUCUGAGAUCCCUCCAUAUAGCUCCAACAAGACCUGGUGCUCCGGCAGAAGAAGAGGUGGGAGAAAAGCAGCGGCAGCAAGAAAGUCAAUAAAAAGGUGCGUAAUUAAUACCCUCCCCUCACUUUCUGCAAAAAGGGAAGCGGGUCCAUCCUCAGGUCAGCGAAUUCCCAUCUAAAUCAUGACCUGCUCCACAGACGAGCAGCAUUUCUCACCCACCCAAAAGCAAAGGUGAAGGGCGAGAGCUUGAUUCCUCUGCUGGGAUCUCCCGACUGUAACCCUUCAAAGAAAAACCAAAGGGAGAAGCGGAAACUUUGUCUGCCAAGCUUUGUCCGCUCCCAGGCCAGGCGGCUUCCCGGGAUCAGCCUCACUCCGGAGCGCGCGCGAGGAGAGAGAAGCGGAGUCAGGUGCCCAAGUGUUGCAAAACUUUCUUCUCCGCCGAGCUGCCUCGCGCAGCUCGCAGCAGCCGCCGCUCCUAAGCCACCCCUUAGAAGCCGCAAGCAGACGAGUCGGCGGUGUGUGGGGGCGGAUUGACAAGCCUCUCGUCCAAUAAAGAGAAGGUGCUGGCCCAGAGUUCCGCGGCAUCGCCGAGCUGUUGGCCAACGGGGACCUAGAAGGGGAGAGCUUCAUUGGAGGCCCACCUGCUCGCCGCUCCGGCUUUCUUCGCUCGUCGGGCUCGCGCCCGGAGAAUGCGGUGGUGUCUGUGUGUGUCGGUAGCUCUCGGGGAGCUCGACCCGGCGGGGACCUGCAGGGGAGUUCAAGGGAGGCAGCGAAAGUUGCGUGGCUGAUUGCCUUUCCAGGCUACGAUGACUGGAGCAGCCCUUCAUGCAGCCCCAGCCAUGAAACUGUCCCUAGAGGACAAAUAUUUCUCUGUGCCAAGCUCACAGAUUCAUGGGCCAUAUCCUCUACUGAACUGUGAGGAGCAGGAAGAGGACGAAGAGCAGCGGGGGGAGGAGGAGAAUACUGGGCCAAGAGUUUACCCCAUUCUGGUAAGCCUGAGAUGGUUAUUUGCCAAUGUUCCACUGCUGUGGGCUGAAUCCUUGCAGAAAGUACCAUAUGGGCACCAGCAGUUGCCAUUUUCUUACUAUUCCUACAGCAGCCUGCUGACAGCACCAGAUUUAGACAUAAGCUAAGCAAGUUACAGUUUAGGGUCUCAUGGUCUAAAGAGGCCUCUCAAAAUUUCAGAUUUUUUUUUCACUGGUUACAGUUUCAUUACAAUUUCAUACCCAAAAGUCUUCAUAAAUUAAGCUGUCCUGUAUGGCUCACAUGACCCUCAUUAAUUAAGAUAUGCUUUGUUUCUGCAUGCAUUCACACCUUAUAUUCAAAGAGGGUCCUUCCCUACCCCAUCAUGGGUUUCUUGUGCUUGGCAUUCUUGCCAAGUUCAGUUGUUACUAUAAGUUUCUCUUCUAUUGGUCAAUUGUUACACUUGCCAGACAGAACCUCUACAGUUUAAUCUGUUAGCGCUUUCCAACCAAAGCUGCUAAAGCUUCCCAAAGCUUAACCCCUCACUAUUUUAAAACUGACCCUGCCAGCCAAUCCUUCCCUUUCCUCCUUUAGUAGUGGUUCAACCCACACCUAGGUCAUCCAAGCCUCAUGGAGAAUGAGGAGACAGGAGGACAGGGUGAUAGCCCCUCCCCUGCUGCUGUGGUGGGCCAGUCAGCUAUGCCCCUAAUCAAUAGCGUUGAGCUACCAGUGGUUUGUCACUGCUUCUGUCAGCACUAACACAUCACCACUGACACAACGCAGCUCCACUGACAGGCAGCCAAAAACACCUUUCCCACUCUCCUUGAAGAAGCAGACUCACCUGGAAGGUAUCUAGGUAUCAGCAAACCUCCCACAGCUGAUCCAUGUCAAGGUGGGGCAUAGUCCCUUUUGGUGCUGGUCCCUGUACCAUCCCACAACUCUUUCCCACAGCAACAGCUUCCCUUUGCUGCUGUAUUCACCGGAUAGCAUGUCUUUGGUUGUGGAGAGUAGUUGCAUCCUCAAGGUGCAUUCAAGUCCCUGGUCCAAGACAUGCUUGUUUACUGUUGCUAUCUCGUGAAACCAUCUCCAGCCCAGGAUACUGCAGUUUCUGAUCGAUGCCCACCAAAAGUAGGAUCCCAGAGAUGCCCCAGGCAACUGCCCCUCCUCUAGCUCAUGGUUCUUCCUGGCAGCACCUUCCCAGAGAAUGUCACCCCACCUGCAGGCAAAUAGUUCUGGUGCAGUUUGUUAGCAGCCUCCACAUCAGUACAAUUUCUCCUUUCCCUUCUUUCAGAGACUGAUUACCCUUGGGAUCACCCAAUACACAGAACCAUUAACUGACCACAUGGGUUAGAUUCCCAUAACUCACUAACUCCCCUACAAAAGAAAUCUCACAUUGGUUAAACUGACUAAGCUUGCAAUGUUUUGCACAUAGAGCCACCAGCUUUUUAAGUAAGCACCUUGAGCAUGGCAGGUGGGCAUAGCCAUGGUUUCAUUUCCAUCCAAGUGGAAUGGCCACCAUUACUGUUUGGGGAGUGUGAUGGAGUCCCUGAGGGAGUGCGUCAUUGGCUGUGGUAAUAGCGCCCUGUGUUCCCACCCCAUUAACUCAUGGAGUACACACAGAGGGUGUCAGCAUUUGUUGCUAUGCCUGGUAUAAGGUCUGACAUAAAUGUGCACUGAACUUUACAACAGUUAGUUUCCCAAAUGAUGGGGUAGAUCCAGACUGGGAUUAUGAUUACAAAUUGCAGUAACCCAUAGUUGGCACAAAGAGCUGAGUUCAAACAGUAUGCUGAAGUUACAUACAGUGUCACAAUUUAACAUCAUAUAUGAAAAUAAGGGCUGGGCCCACGCUAUAUGACAAGCUCCCUUGAAUAUUUGCACUGCUGUCAUCCAACCUUAGUUAACUUGGUAAACUAUGAUUGAAACUGUCCACUAUUUUAUGAUUCUCUUUAAAACUGUACGCUCAUAGAAUUGUGCUUGAUAAAAUAAUGUGGUAGUAAUAAUAGUAUGCUUUAGGAUGACUUUGAAUGAGAAAUGAGUUAAAAUUAUUAAAAACUAAAUGUAUAUAUUGAAUAUAAUAGAAGUCAAAUGUGAAAGAAGAAAUGAGUCAAAUCUAAGUCCAAACUAUUUUUCUAAUCAGCAGUACUUUGGAGAUGCCUGCUGGUACAUAUACUAAGCUAACAUGCUCCCCAUUUGUAUCUUUCUAAGAAAGGGUAAGUCAGGUGACCAAUUCUUCAAAUUGAGUGGUCUUUAAAUGUGUCAGCUCAGAGAGGAUACAAUUUGUCCAGCAACUCUAGAAGCAAGAGAUCUGAGAAACGUUAAGGAAAGUGGGUGCAUGGAGAGGCUUGUAUGUGCAUGUGUUACUGAAUUUAUUUUAUGUAAUUAUACGAAAAUAAUUUCCAAGUGAAUCUUUGAGAACCUCAGAUUGUAACAGAUAAAUUACACAAAAUGAACAGCAUUGCAUUUAUUUUGACUUAUUUAAAUUUUUAAGUAUACAGUGAGCAACAAAACUGGUAUUUUUCUGAUAAGCUUCUCUGAAAUGCUUAACUUGGGAAUAUACAUACCCUCUCUUGUAACCAUUAGCAGUCUUCAGCAUUUCUAGUACAAAAAUGCUUGUAUAGACACAGAUAAUCUAUUGAGAUUUGCUGGGUCAAUGUUACUAAAUAACUGAGACAACUUCUGAA